rnacentral:tRNA from 1 species
UAAAUUGUGACUGAAACAGUGUUUAGAUGUUAACUAAAAUCAUAAGAAAACUUCAAUUUAA